rnacentral:rRNA from 1 species
AAUGGGGGAUAACGUAGCGAAAGUUACGCUAAUACCGCAUAUGCCCUGAGGGGGAAAGUGGGGGAUCGCAAGACCUCACGUUUUCGGAGCGGCCGAUAUCAGAUUAGCUAGUUGGUGGGGUAAAGGCCUACCAAGGCGACGAUCUGUAGCUGGUCUGAGAGGACGACCAGCCACACUGGGACUGAGACACGGCCCAGACUCCUACGGGAGGCAGCAGUGGGGAAUUUUGGACAAUGGGGGCAACCCUGAUCCAGCCAUGCCGCGUGAGUGAAGAAGGCCUUCGGGUUGUAAAGCUCUUUCGGACGGAAAGAAAUCCUAUCCGCUAAUACCGGGUGGGGAUGACGGUACCGUAAGAAGAAGCACCGGCUAACUACGUGCCAGCAGCCGCGGUAAUACGUAGGGUGCGAGCGUUAAUCGGAAUUACUGGGCGUAAAGCGUGCGCAGGCGGUUUAUUAAGACAGAUGUGAAAUCCCCGGGCUUAACCUGGGAACUGCAUUUGUGACUGGUAGGCUAGAGUGUGGCAGAGGGGGGUAGAAUUCCA